AGUUCGCCACGUUGACAGGGAAGGAGGACAGCCUUUCCUCGGGCCACACACACCUGGGACCUCCUGCGUGUCAUCUGGGAGCGUCACUGAGGGAGCCUUGAGAGCGGGGCCUCGGACGGGGCCGUGCACACCCCACUGCUUCACUCGCUGGACACAAACCCCUGGCACCCGGAGCCCCCGUGGUGGCGUCCACACCCGCACCCUGGACACUCCCGCCGCCACCACCACCCCCACCCUGGUCAGGCCCCAUGAAGGCUGCUGGUGUUCUCAGGACCAAGGAGAAAGCAAGCAACUGCAAUACUCUAGGAUGACCUAAAUACGAAGGACUGUGACAGCACCUCACCCAGCCAGUCCAGGUGGGAAAGCCGCCUGAAGAAGUUGCAGUCUGAAACGUGCAAAGUGUCCGGGGGACAGAGGUGCACCUGCUACAAAAGGGGCCCGACACCUGCCCCCACGUGGACAGACCCUGAGAACGCCGGGCUCAGGGAGGGGACCCAGACCCAGAAGGACACCUCCUGCAGGACCCCACUCCCAGGACGUCCCCAGAGGAGGCCCGUCCACAGAGACAGAGAGGAGGUGGUGGGAGCCGGGGAGGGGGGAGGGGGGUGGUCCCUGUGGAGAGAUGGAAGGUUCUGGAGACGGUGGGGGGGAUGCACGGCGGGGUGAGUGUGCUUCGUGCUCUGAGCUGUGCGCUUAGAAACAACUAAGUGGUAAAUUUUAUGUGAUGUGUACUUUACCGCAAUAAAAUAGAUAAAUGCAAGUUUAUGAAGCCAUAAGGGUUGGGGACAGCACGGGCUUCGGGGAUGAGACCUGUGCAGUCACCCAGAGCCUCAGGCUCCAAAGAGCCCCUCCCAUGGUUUAUUGCUGGGGGGGGGGGCAAUCGUCCUGAAUUCCUAAUAAUUUUUGAACAAGGGGCGCCGUAUUUGCGUAUUUUCCAUUUAAACUGGGAUCUGUAAAUUGCAUGGCCACUCGUGGUUCACGGAAUGGACAGGGAAACGCCAAGUUCAGGGUCCAGGGCACUGGGGUUGCUGAGAACUUGCCAGUCUGUCUGGACCCCACCCUGAGCGGAGAGAGUGAGACGCAGUCAGGAAGUGGGCUCCUGAGAGCCUGAGGAAGGAAGUGGGGGGCACUUGACAUGAAAAUAGCACCACUGGCCCAGCUGAUGGGGUAGGGGGGGCAGGGAGGACCUGGGGAGGGAGCCUGGAGCCCCAGCCCUCUGCUUGCCCCUAGCCCACCCGCCCCUCCUGCCCCUCCUGCCCCUCCGCCACCCCCCCCCCCCCGCCCUCCUCCCUCCUGCCCCACCGCAGCAGUGGGGCUUAGAAGCAGAAAGACAAGUGCUGGGAGGUGCACCUGGGGCUGGUGUGCCUCGGGCUCUUGGAGCAACAGGACCACAGGACACCUAAGACAGGAGGACGGGUAAACGGACGGAGGGACGGACGGAUUUCUUAUGAGGAAUUGGCCCCUGCAGCUGCGGAGGCUGAGCGUUCCUAUCUGCCACCUGCAGCUGACAGGGUCCGGGCGGGCCCAGCCCCAGGGCUCAGGCGGAGGGGGCACCUGCUCUUCCCAGGCUAACCAAGUCGUAUCCUAAUGGCAUCCAGACGUACCCAAAAAUAAUAGUUAAAAAUGCAAAUCCCACUCAUUCACUGCAGGGUGUGAACAUCUGACACCCCCACCCCCCACCCCCGCUCAGGGGGAGUGAAGCUGCGGA
rnacentral:lncRNA from 1 species